rnacentral:tRNA from 1 species
GCCUCCGUAGCUCAAUGGAAGAGCGUGCGCGUCCUAAGCGUUAGGUUGCAGGUUCGAGUCCUGUCGGGGGCA